UCUCCGUUGGUGAACCAGCGGAGGGAUCAUUACCGAGUUUACAACUCCCAAACCCCUGUGCACAUACCUAUUCGUUGCCUCGGCGGGAGGCCCCGGGGGGUAGUCGGCGUCCGCGCCGGCCGCCCUCCCGGACCCCAUGGCUGCCCGCCGGAGGACCAAUAAACUCUUGUUUUACUUGAAUCUUACUUCUGAGUAACUGGCGAAAGCCGAAAAUAAAUCAAAACUUUCAACAACGGAUCUCUUGGCUCUGGCAUCGAUGAAGAACGCAGC
rnacentral:misc_RNA from 1 species